GACGAACGCUGGCGGCGUGCUUAACACAUGCAAGUCGAACGGAAAGGCCCUGCUUUUGUGGGGUGCUCGAGUGGCGAACGGGUGAGUAACACGUGAGUAACCUGCCCUUGACUUUGGGAUAACUUCAGGAAACUGGGGCUCAUACCGGAUAGGAGCUCCUGCUGCAUGGUGGGGGUUGGAAAGUUUCGGCGGUUGGGGAUGGACUCGAGGCUUAUCAGCUUGUUGGUGGGGUAGUGGCUUACCAAGGCUUUGACGGGUAGCCGGCCUGAGAGGGUGACCGGCCACAUUGGGACUGAGAUACGGCCCAGACUCCUACGGGAGGCAGCAGUGGGGAAUAUUGCACAAUGGGCGGAAGCCUGAGGCAGCAACGCCGCGUGCGGGAUGACGGCCUUCGGGUUGUAAACCGCUUUCGCCUGUGACGAAGCGUGAGUGACGGUAAUGAGUAAAGAAGCACCGGCUAACUACGUG
rnacentral:rRNA from 1 species